AAACAUAAAGGGGUUCCGAAAGUACAAGUUGUUGCUGUGACUGACUCGAUGAUUGAGGGGGUCGUCUCGACGAAAGAUAGAGACAGUUGGCCAUAGUUUAGAUUAGGAAUACGUCAAUGUAAUAAUAGUGGACCAAAUGUUUCGUCCGUGCAGAAUGGCACUUUUUACCUCACGACCAUGCAUAGCUGCGCUACGUAAACAAUUUUACAAAGUUGUUGAUGUAGCGUGAUCGUGAUGUCCGACUCCGAGUACGAGUGCUGCGAGUUUCAAUACUGUUUAUGUAGUCAUUGAGAGUUUAAACAAAGUUUCUUCUGAGAAGAGAAAUUCGAUGGAUGCAUUCAACGUGGAUAACGAGAUUAUAAUUUCGUUUGUAUCAUCCUAAGGACAAGUGCAAGUUGAAAUGGAUUUCGAGUCAACAACUUCAACAGCAAUUUGCCUUGAAAAUCAGCAAGAAAGGUACUUCAUUUACAUUGAUGAUGUCAUAUCCCCUGAACCCCACAACUUUACAGGUUACAGAGAAAAUUCAAGAACUUCUGCACAAUGUGGGACUCGGAUAGAAUCAAUAAUGUAUUUGUGAGCCCAGAUAUAUUGUGCAACAUACUAAAGUGUGAAUUUAGUUGAAAACAAGUACAUGUACUCAUGUAUACUAUUAUAUGUCUUUCUUAAAGACAAUAAUAUUGCAUAAAUGUAGAUGAAGUGUCAUUGUUGAUUAUUCUAAGUUUUUGAUAUAUCAAAAUCAGUAAACAUUUCUAAAUGAAAAUAAAAUACCAAUUUUAUAACUUUUAA